CAAUAGCGUAUAUUAAAGUUGUUGCGGUUAAAAAGCUCGUAGUUGGAUUUCUGUCGAGGGCGGCCGGUCCUUACUAUGUAAGUGCAUCUGGUUCGGUCUUGGCAUCCUCUUGGGGAUCGUUUCUGUGCUUGAUUGCAUGGGGCGGAAUUCAAGACUUUUACUUUGAGGAAAUUAGAGUGUUCACGGCAGGCAAGCGCCUUGAAUAUAUUAGCAUGGAAUAAUAAUAUAGGAUCUCGGUUCUAUUUUGUUGGUUUCUAGAAUCAGGAUAAUGAUUAAUAGGGAUAAUUGGGGGCAUUUGUAUUAACGCGUCAGAGGUGGAAUUCUUGGAUUGCGUUACGACAAACUACUGCGAAAGCAUUUGCCAAGGAUGUUUUCAUUGAUCAAGAACGAAAGUAUGGGGAUCGAAGACGAUUAGAUACCA
rnacentral:rRNA from 1 species